AUUGAACGCUGGCGGCAGGCCUAACACAUGCAAGUCGAGCGGAUGAAGAGAGCUUGCUCUCUGAUUUAGCGGCGGACGGGUGAGUAAUGCCUAGGAAUCUGCCUGGUAGUGGGGGAUAACGUUCCGAAAGGAACGCUAAUACCGCAUACGUCCUACGGGAGAAAGCAGGGGACCUUCGGGCCUUGCGCUAUCAGAUGAGCCUAGGUCGGAUUAGCUAGUUGGUGAGGUAAUGGCUCACCAAGGCGACGAUCCGUAACUGGUCUGAGAGGAUGAUCAGUCACACUGGAACUGAGACACAGUCCAGACUCCUACGGGAGGCAGCAGUGGGGAAUAUUGGACAAUGGGCGAAAGCCUGAUCCAGCCAUGCCGCGUGUGUGAAGAAGGUCUUCGGAUUGUAAAGCACUUUAAGUUGGGAGGAAGGGUUGUAGAUUAAUACUCUGCAAUUUUGACGUUACCGACAGAAUAAGCACCGGCUAACUCUGUGCCAGCCGCCGCAGUAACAC
rnacentral:rRNA from 1 species